rnacentral:misc_RNA from 1 species
AUUGAUAUAAAAAGAUUCAUUGAAAUUACACCAGUUCCAUUACAUGCACUGUGUGAUGUACACUAACACAAGAAUGAUAAUUGGAACUUCUAAACAUCAAUCAAUAAUUUCAUACCAAUAAAAGAACAUUGAUAUAAUAUAUUGACUUUUAGUGUAUGACCUCGCUGCUAAUAUUAAGGAGGUCAUAAAUUAGGUUGUGUUGUGCACAUUUGAGUUGGAAACGAGAUUAGAGUGAUCCUUCAACUUGUAGGCGUGACAGACAGUUCCAACCUUCCGGUCCAUUCUUCACCUGGCUUCAAGGCGAUUGGUUUCUCAAUAGCUGCUCCGUCUACACAAAGCAUAUGCUUGUAUUCUUCAUCUCCGAGAUCAGCUAUGACUUUAGAUUUCUUCUCCCAUGGAUUCCAAACCACAACAUCAG